UGCGUAGGCGGAAUUUUAAGUCAGUUGUGAAAUCCUGCAGCUCAACUGUAGAACUGCCAUUGAUACUGAUCUUCUUGAAUUUAGUUGAGGUGGGCGGAACGUGUAAUGUAGCGGUGAAAUGCUUAGAUAUUACACAGAACACCGAUUGCGAAGGCAGCUCACUAAACUAACAUUGACGCUGAGGCACGAAAGCGUGGGUAGCGAACAGGAUUAGAUACCCUGGUAGUCC
rnacentral:rRNA from 1 species